AAUCCCAUUCUCUUGACCGCCACUACCUUUCUUCUUCUUUCCAUCAUCCCUGCCGAACCCACUGCCUUUGACACUUCCAUUGCUGGAUUUCUCUUUUUCAAUUGACAAGAUCUCAAUAGGUAUAUUCAGUCUCUUCUUCAGAUUCUCAUUUAACACCUUUGGGUCCAUGGUCCCUUUGAUUGUCACUGUUUCCUUCUGUUCAUCCUCUGACAUCUCUUGCACACCUGAAAUGAAUUGAAUUCUGUCAAGACUUACAGUUCCCUGACCCUCCAUCGAUGAAACGGAUACAAUAAGACGCAACUAACAAGGUCAUGAAUUACCAAUUGUGUCUUCGACGAUCUUUCUAAUCUUCGGGCCGCAUCCCUGGCAGUUGUGUCCCAGCUUGACCACAAAAAUUGUUCUCUCCAAGGACUGUACCCCAUUAAAAUUUGAAAUUAAUACUCAAUUACUCGCAAACAACAAAUAAUAAACAAACACGAAUACAAUCUUCAUUAGCUUGAAAACUUUAAAUUGGGCAUUAAUUUCUUAGAGAUUAAUAAAUGGCUAUGCAAGUAAAAGGAAGCUGUACUUAAGCUAUUAAAAAUAGUACCUGUUUCUCAAACGAUAUCUUGUCAUCUCUGUUGCCGUCAGCGGCGGUGUCACAAAUCCGGGGCUGAGCAGAGACAAUGCUGACAUUCUUCUUGAUCUUCAGGCGGAGAUAUUCUUGAAUCUCCAAGGAGUUCACUUUACCUUCCACAGUCAACUUGUUUGAAUUUACAUCUGCUGUCACAUUCUCUACACCUGAAUUAAAGGAAAAAAAUCAAGAUAAUAAAUAAAAUAAAUCUGAGUAGUUGAAACAAAAAAAAAAUAGAGAAAAUGAGGAAAUAUUUGAAAAAAUAAAUUCUAAAAACAGAGAACAUUAUGAAUUUUUCAUAAUUUAUAAAAUAAAAAAAUUAAUAAUAAUAAUUCAAUUUAAAUAGUUCAAAAUCAAUAAAUUGCAGGCUGGGAUAAUUGGAGAUGGCAAUAACAAUAAUAAUAAUAAUAAUAAUAGUAAUUAUUCAAAAAAAUAGGGAAAAUGCAUGAAAUAUAUACAUGAAAAUGAAAUACCUUUGAAGUUGCGAGCAUGAGCGAUAAUCUGAGAAGAGCAUCUUUCACUAUUCAACUCAACCUCUAAAACGACGACGGAUAUGGUACUGAUAGUCGUUUCCAUCAUGACUGAUAAAUUGAAUUAAAUUAAGAAGAGAAAAAAUUUGAAGCAAACUGAACAGAAAUACAUAGCUGUGAAUCUCUGUUUAUUGUAAUUGCUUCUGCUAAAAUAUGGAGAAGACAAGAACAGUAGUCCAUUGACUGCUCAAGACUCAAGUCAAUCACAAAAAAAAAACAAUUCCUCUUUUUCUUUCUUCUCUUUUUUCUAACAGCUGCGUUCUAUUAAAGCAUGCAGUACAAAAUCUUCAAUGAUUGUACUCUUUCAAUCAGUGGCGUUUGACCCUUCCUUUUUCUUAAUUUUCUUCUAAUAUACAUGUAUUUUUUCAAUUCAUCCUCUUAACAUUCCCAAUAACUUUCUUUAUUUUAGUUUAUUAUAUAUUGAUCCUAGAAAAUUUUAUUCAUAAAUCCGCCGCUGCUUUCAAUAUGCGUUUGAAAGCCAAUACUUUUUUUUGGUAAAUUUAGCGAAUAUUUUUAAUUUUAUUAAAUAUUACCUCGAAUUUAUUUUUCUUAUUAAUUAUGAUUUUCGUACAGAAUUCAUUAAUUUAUUUCUUAUUUAAAUGUUAAUUAGACCUACAACACAUAAGCUCACAUUCACGUGGCCAUUUUUUAAUUAUUCAUCUUUAUUUUUAUAAUUUUUAAAUUGAAAAAUUGCAAUAUUUGAGACAAUAUUUUUCUCAUUUCACCAUAGGCUUGAAAGAAUUCGAACGGGCUAAAUAAUUAACAGACUCUUAAUAGACCAUCGGUGAGCAACUCGCAUCAUUAACAAUCCCCAAAUAUGCCAAAUAGAUUUUUUUCGCUCCCAUAAUUACAUCACUUUACUACAUCCAGUCAAACUCUAAAUAAAAGAUAUAAUUGACAAUAAAAAUAAAAUACAGAGUAUAUUCACAAAAUUAAAAGUAUUUGAGAAAUUUGAAAAGAAAUUCAAAAAGUAAUGUCGGCAAAGUUUAUUAUUAAAUAUGACCUUUUCUUUUUCAGUAGCGACGUCAUUUAAUAGCAUGGUGAACUUGGUCACCAAGUUGUUGCUAAGCACUGUAGGUUGCUUGGCCACAACUGCAACAAGUAAUCUAACCGCCUAACACUAUUCCUUUGAAUCACAUUUUAAAACCUUUCCAUUCUACUACGUACUUUCCUCAAAAACCCUAAUAAUUGAUUUAGAGGCAAGAAUGGCUAUGGCGAUGGAGGAAGAUGAAGAUCUUUCCAAGAAGUGUUGUGGGAUUAUAGUUCCACGUCUUGAAAACAUCGUAUCAACGGUAAACCUAGACUGCAAACUUAGCCUUCAACGCAUUAUUCUCAAAGCAAGAAAUGCAGAAUUCAACCCCAAUCGUUUCUCUGCUGUUAUUAUGAGAAUUAAAAAACCAGAAAGCACUUCUCUCAUUUUUGCAUCUGGAAAGCUGGUAUGGAACGGUGCCAAGACUGAAGAAGAAUAGAAGAUGGCUGCGAGAAAGUUUGCAAGAAUCAUCCAGAAAUUAGGGUUUCCGGCCAAAUUUAGGGAUUUUAAGAUCGAGAAUAUAGUGGCUUCUUGUGAUGUUAAGUUUCCUAUAAAACUAGAGAGGUUUGCACGCAGUCCACAUGAAGGGUAUUCUACGUAUGAACCGGAACUCUUUCCGGGUCUUGUUUAUCGCAUGAAGAAACCGAAGAUUGUAAUGCUAAUUUUUGUUUCUGGAAAGAUUAUAAUCACUGGAGCCAAGAAAAGCCGAUAUACUUUCACUGCAUUUGAAAGUAUUUAUCUUGUUCUUGCAGGCUUCAAGAGGUAAUAAUCGUCACUCGAAGGAUUUUUCUUUUUUAAGUGCUUUCGAAGGAAUUUUCUUGAAGCAUUUAUCCUCUUCCAGGCUUCAAGAAGUAAUAAAUUAAUUAUCAUCACAGUAAUUGUCUUUGUUUUUUUUUUUAACAAUACUAUAAUACUUAUUAGUUGUUGAUUGUUGGAUGUCUUUAUGUAUUUUACAUUACUAUAUUAAUUAAUGGAUUAGGUUUGAAUUUCAAUAUGCUGUUUGAUCAUAUAUAUUUUUAUAGAUUGAAUUGUAAAUUGAGGUGUAAUUAGAUUAUCAUUGUUAAGCAUUUUAUAUUAGUUAUUUAAUCGUGUUAAUUCAUUCUUCAUGAAUCGAAUGUACUACCUCUCUUUCAUAAUAUUUAUUACAUUUGGAAUUUUACGGUUUUUAAGAAAACCAUUAAAUUUGUUUAAAUUCCAAUAAAUUAUUAAAUAAAUUGACUAAAUUACCUUUAAUUUAAUACUAAUUCUCUAAGAAAAUCAUUAAAUUGAAAUAAUAAUUAUUAGUUAUAUCAAAGGAUUAACAUGAAAAAAAUGGAUUUAUUACUCCUUAAAACCACAAAUAUGACAAAUAUUUUGAAAUAAAUUAUUUUCUGAAAUGUGACAAAUAUUAUAGAAGGGAGGUAAUAACAUUUAUUAGUCCAUAAAUAGUAUGGCUAGUUGCUCCUUGUAUCGAUAUUCUCAUAUAUCAAAUAUAGGUUAUCUUAUACUGCUAAAAAUAUGCUAAGUAUUUUCUAUUCCUUUCUAUAAUGUGAAUUAAUAUAUGUUAAUGAGCUUUGGGGGACAACAUUGUUAACAAACGUCAACUAUAUAAUAAUGUCUUUGUUAUUUUGUUCCUUUUUCUUAAUUCAACUAUUAGUAAUUUCCAUUACCAUACCCUGCUGACAAUUUAGCAUAGGUUAAAGAUAUGAAUGCCUGACAUUUAUUCAAUCCAAGCCAUGUAAAAGACAGCAGACACAACCUUCGACACAACAAAAUAUAAUAAAAAGCUCAUGUCUAGCCAAACCCUGCAGAGAACAUUAGAAGUUGAGAAUAUAUAUGACAAGAGAAGACAAUGAACAGAGUUUGCAUAUGCUCAUCUCGCCAUCUGGCCAUCCAUAUAUAAUGCAUAAUUGCACAUAUAUAUACAUAUGGCUAAACAUGCAAUUAAUAAUAUAAAUUCAGCACUCAACCUUAUUACUUUACUCACAUUAUAUUUUCAAUAUUAAAGGUGAUAAAUUGUAUUCUUAAAAUUACUUUCAAUUUUAAAAGAGAUAUAUUGUAUUUCUAAAAUUACGAAUUUUAAUAACAUUACACGGUUGUUUAUAUUCAUAAUUUUUAUAAUUUUUAACUUUUAUACCAAAAUAUUGUUUUAAUGUGCUGUCGACAUAAUUUUUGCAACAAUAAUUUCACAUUUUUUGAACUAUUUAAUAAAUAUUUAAUAAAUCUAAUUUUAUAAGUUAAAGUGUUUAAUAAAAUAAUUUUACAAGGUAAAUAUUUAAUAAGUAUAAUUUUAUAAUUUAAAAUAUUCAAUGGAUAGAAGAAAUGUUGAGGGUGUUAGGGGCGAGCAUUCUGCGAAUUCAGCCGAUUUGAAUAAUUUUUUUACCAAAGUUUUUUAAAUGAACUAUUUUUUUGCCUUAACCGAACUCGACCGAACAAAUAUUUUAAUCGAAUUAAUUUUGAUUACACCAAGUUGUUGCUAAGCAUUAGGGUUUCCGGCCAAAUUUAGGGAUUUUAAGAUCGAGAAUAUAGUGGCUUCUUGUGAUGUUAAGUUUCCUAUAAAACUAGAGAGGUUUGCACGCAGUCCACAUGAAGGGUAUUCUACGUAUGAACCGGAACUCUUUCCGGGUCUUGUUUAUCGCAUGAAGAAACCGAAGAUUGUAAUGCUAAUUUUUGUUUCUGGAAAGAUUAUAAUCACUGGAGCCAAGAAAAGCCGAUAUACUUUCACUGCAUUUGAAAGUAUUUAUCUUGUUCUUGCAGGCUUCAAGAGGUAAUAAUCGUCACUCGAAGGAUUUUUCUUUUUUAAGUGCUUUCGAAGGAAUUUUCUUGAAGCAUUUAUCCUCUUCCAGGCUUCAAGAAGUAAUAAAUUAAUUAUCAUCACAGUAAUUGUCUUUGUUUUUUUUUUUAACAAUACUAUAAUACUUAUUAGUUGUUGAUUGUUGGAUGUCUUUAUGUAUUUUACAUUACUAUAUUAAUUAAUGGAUUAGGUUUGAAUUUCAAUAUGCUGUUUGAUCAUAUAUAUUUUUAUAGAUUGAAUUGUAAAUUGAGGUGUAAUUAGAUUAUCAUUGUUAAGCAUUUUAUAUUAGUUAUUUAAUCGUGUUAAUUCAUUCUUCAUGAAUCGAAUGUACUACCUCUCUUUCAUAAUAUUUAUUACAUUUGGAAUUUUACGGUUUUUAAGAAAACCAUUAAAUUUGUUUAAAUUCCAAUAAAUUAUUAAAUAAAUUGACUAAAUUACCUUUAAUUUAAUACUAAUUCUCUAAGAAAAUCAUUAAAUUGAAAUAAUAAUUAUUAGUUAUAUCAAAGGAUUAACAUGAAAAAAAUGGAUUUAUUACUCCUUAAAACCACAAAUAUGACAAAUAUUUUGAAAUAAAUUAUUUUCUGAAAUGUGACAAAUAUUAUAGAAGGGAGGUAAUAACAUUUAUUAGUCCAUAAAUAGUAUGGCUAGUUGCUCCUUGUAUCGAUAUUCUCAUAUAUCAAAUAUAGGUUAUCUUAUACUGCUAAAAAUAUGCUAAGUAUUUUCUAUUCCUUUCUAUAAUGUGAAUUAAUAUAUGUUAAUGAGCUUUGGGGGACAACAUUGUUAACAAACGUCAACUAUAUAAUAAUGUCUUUGUUAUUUUGUUCCUUUUUCUUAAUUCAACUAUUAGUAAUUUCCAUUACCAUACCCUGCUGACAAUUUAGCAUAGGUUAAAGAUAUGAAUGCCUGACAUUUAUUCAAUCCAAGCCAUGUAAAAGACAGCAGACACAACCUUCGACACAACAAAAUAUAAUAAAAAGCUCAUGUCUAGCCAAACCCUGCAGAGAACAUUAGAAGUUGAGAAUAUAUAUGACAAGAGAAGACAAUGAACAGAGUUUGCAUAUGCUCAUCUCGCCAUCUGGCCAUCCAUAUAUAAUGCAUAAUUGCACAUAUAUAUACAUAUGGCUAAACAUGCAAUUAAUAAUAUAAAUUCAGCACUCAACCUUAUUACUUUACUCACAUUAUAUUUUCAAUAUUAAAGGUGAUAAAUUGUAUUCUUAAAAUUACUUUCAAUUUUAAAAGAGAUAUAUUGUAUUUCUAAAAUUACGAAUUUUAAUAACAUUACACGGUUGUUUAUAUUCAUAAUUUUUAUAAUUUUUAACUUUUAUACCAAAAUAUUGUUUUAAUGUGCUGUCGACAUAAUUUUUGCAACAAUAAUUUCACAUUUUUUGAACUAUUUAAUAAAUAUUUAAUAAAUCUAAUUUUAUAAGUUAAAGUGUUUAAUAAAAUAAUUUUACAAGGUAAAUAUUUAAUAAGUAUAAUUUUAUAAUUUAAAAUAUUCAAUGGAUAGAAGAAAUGUUGAGGGUGUUAGGGGCGAGCAUUCUGCGAAUUCAGCCGAUUUGAAUAAUUUUUUUACCAAAGUUUUUUAAAUGAACUAUUUUUUUGCCUUAACCGAACUCGACCGAACAAAUAUUUUAAUCGAAUUAAUUUUGAUUAUUAACUGUGCAGAAAUUUUUAAAAAGAAAAAAUUAUUUAACAGACCAACUUUAACCGAACGUUAUAAAUAUUAACUGACUUUAACCGAAUCAACCCAACUUCUUCGCUAUACAAAUUUAACUUAAGGAACAUUCAGAUGGUGAAAACAGAACUAAUCAACUUAAAAAAAAAAUAAAAUAAAAUAAAUUGUCAAAACAAAUGCAUAUUUAGCUCAAACAACAAUAACUCAAAUAACAAAUACAUAUUUAGCUCAAACAACAAUAACUCAAAUUUAGCUUCAACCUUCAACAUAUCAAGUCUUCUUUUUUUUUUCCUUCCUCUCAAGCUCCUACAAAGAGCAAAUUAAAUUAAAAUAGGAUAAAAAGUGACCAGCUCAAAUAGAUUAAACAAUUAAUCACAUGAUUAUUAAUUACAGAAACUGGGAUUCAACCAAGAACUCUAAUUACUCGCAUAGGAGCGGCAAAACUAAAUGUAUUAUAGAUAGAAGUAAAAUUGGAAUAAAGCAUCCAUGUUAUGAAAAUGACGUAUAAGUAAAGGUUCAAAACCUAUGAGACACAGAGAAACUGAUUUAGGAUUUGGACACGCAGAUAUGUUUUUUUUUUUUUUUUUUUAUAUAUAAGCAUCUUGAAAAACAAAGAUUUCGACUCUCAAUUUGCUUAAAAAACUUAAACCUGAUGAAUUUAUUGAAUUCAUUUAAUUUAUUGAAUUUACUAAAUAAAUUCAUGAACAAAAAGAUGCAAUACCCAACCCUCAAUUUUUGAGAGAAAAAUUAAUAGUUUUUAGAAGAUCACAAACCAAAUUACUAAGAGAUUGCUUGUUUUUGUUGAAUGCAAAGUUACUAUUUUCAUAAAAACGGAACUGCAGAUCACAGCAACGUCAAUACUGAAGCAGCAUCAUCAGAUCACGGUAAUGCCAAGACAAUCAGCAAAAGCAUUUGCAGAUCGGAAAAUAUGUACGAAAAUUAAUUGAGGAAAGAUGAUCGGGAAGGGAAAAGAAGUGGUUUGAAGCCUACCUGGUGGUUGGUGCACUACGUUCGCCGGAGAUGAGCGAAGGUGAUCGAUGAUGGAGCUAUAAAAUCACAGCUUACCCUACGCUCGAUCUCACAAGAAAGAAAAUGGAAAUAAGAAAAGAUCUCUUGCAGAUUGAGAGAGCGGCUGGAAGGGCAAGCAGCCUUGGUCCAAAGAGAGGGGGCGGUAGCUGAGAGAUUAAGAAUACUUUACUCACAUUAUAUUUUCAAUAUUAAAGGUGAAUAUUAAGGGAGAGUUUAGGAUUCGAUUUUGGUUUUGGGAAAUGGGAGUGAAAUGAAAGAGCAACUUGUGUUUAAGUUUUACUAUUUGUUUCCGCAAAACGACAUGGUUUUGGACAUGGGUUAAUUCGAUUAACUCGAUUUGAUUAAUGGUUAACUGAUUUGUUAAUCGAAAACCAAAAUUAUAAUUUUUUUUAACCCAAUCGAAUUCGCCGAUUUGGCUGAACCGAAUGCUCAUUCCUUGAGGGUGUUAUAAGAUCAAAAUAAAAAAUUUCAAGACCAUUAAUUGAUUUUACAUUAGAAUUAUUUAAUUGAAGAGGUUUUUUUUUUUUUUUUUAGAUAAUAUUUAAUUGAAGAGUGACUGUAAGAAAAAGAAAAUUACAGUUUUAUCUAAUGAUUCUUUAAAUUAUUUUGAUCCAAAUAAAACCAUAGCAUAUCAAAUAAUUAAGAGUUCAAAAUAGCUUGUAAUUUGGUAAUGGUCACAGAACCAGAAAGACAACCAAAUCUUGACAGUUUAGUGUGCUAAAAUUCAUUUUCCUUAUUGAAUUUUGUAAUUAGCCAAACAAACUGAUCAAUAAAAAGGUGAAAAAGAAAAGAAAGAAACAAAAAUGAGCAAAUAUUACCUUGAGCAAAUGCAGGGAAACCACCGCUUAGAUAAAAAGAACAGCCUACAGCUUCCAGAAGAAUUCUUUCACAUGUUGAGCAGCAGUAUAAUAAUGGCGGUUUCUCAGACAUCAUCAUUGCAGGACAUCCAUAGGAAAUUUUCAUUAGCAACACAAACAUAAAAUAUAAAAAGUGAUAACUCAACGGAAAAGUGAUAACAGAGUUGAAUUAAAGAAGAAAUGAACCGGAACAACAAUCACCUUAUGAAGUAGGCUGAGAACUUGGCUGACGUUCCUCUUUGGAAAACCUGAUCUACACAGUUGUUCUUCAUUGUCAACAUGUCUGCCACCAAACCCAAAACCAGGUUCUUCAAUUUCGAUUUUUCAAAUAUCCCUAUAAGCAACUCUGUUUCCAAUACCAACAUUCCCUCAUUCCCUGUUUCAAUUACAAUUUUAAAAAUUUGGCGGAUUGCAUAACCCUUGAACUUUUCUCAAAUUGCAUUUGUGUCUGUCAACUUUGCGAAACCGCUUGUAUUCAUUAAGUUGUUUUUUUUAUAGCUUUUGUACUCCUUGACACGCUGUAAAAGAGCCGUAUAAACUCAGCGUGAACCUUUUAAAUUUUUUCCACCGUAGUAAAAACGAUGUCAUUUACAUUAUCAAAUCAUUUUAACUUCAUCUAUUAUCCCCUUUCUCAGUUUCUCUCUGUAUCUUCUCCUUGUUCUUCUCUAUAAUCAAAAUCAAACCAACCUUUUUAAAUUAUUUUAUGAUUAAUGAAAUCCAAACUACUAGCACAGAUUUGUAUGAUUUGUUUUUAAUUUUUAUUUUUUUCUUGAUAUGAUUUUGGGUAUUGAUAGUCUCUGAAUUGUAUUAUUGAUAUUAUAGGAGAUGUUUUAUCUCAAAUUUAGCAUUGAUUUCAUCAAAGAAAACUCUUUUUAAUUUAAAGUUUUAAAUUUGUUUGUGUUUUUGUGUUUUUAAAUCUAAGUUUGUUUUAUUUUUAUGUUCUUUAUGUUUUUUUUUUUAAUUCCAGAAAAAAAAUAAUGGAGUUCAAAUCUUUUGUAAGAGAAAGGGAUUUCAACAAGAUGGAGGUGUUGAGACUUUUUGAUUUUCCUCUCAGUUUGGGAUUUCGGUUUAUGGCAAAGAGUUAAGAUUUUUUUUCAUUUAAUUUUUCGUUCUUCUCUUUUUUUUUUUUCCCUUCCUAUUAUUUCUUAUACAUGUAGAAACCAACGUGGCAAAUAAAUUGAUGACAAAUCAACUGCUUAUAACACGUUUGUAUUUCACGCAAAAUCUUCAAUUUGCUCAGGGAUACAAAAACUGCAAAAAAAAAAAAAAACUUAAAGGGCAUAAGUGUCCCGCAAAUUGAGAGUCACAAAUGGCAAUUUAAGAAUAGCUGAGGAGAAAAUUAUGCAUUCGGCUAUUUUAAAACCAUGAUUUUAAAAAUACCAAUUGACCAAGUAACUAAGUGAAGAAAUAAAGAAUACCAAAUCAUUAUGGUCUGAAGUUUUCCAAAUACCUUCAUCUUUUUCUUGUGUUUUGUUCUCCUUCUGCUCAACCUCUUGUUUUUAUGUUGUCCUUCUGAUCAUUCUUCUAUUGAUUGAGGUUUUCACUCCAGUCAGCAUGAUGAUGUUGAAGGCUUGAUGAAGUUACAAAGGCCAUUACAUUGACUUAAAAAUCGAAGAGAAGACUUUUUGAAUGCCAAUGGAAUCCUAGGUAAAGUGCCUAUCUCUAUCUCUAUUUUGCAGUGUAGAUAAUCAGGUUCAUACAUAGCUUUCUUGAGCUUUCUCCCUUGAACAAAAAUAAUGAAUAUAAUUUUCAGUUGGUGGACAAGCAAAACAUUGCCCCACAAUCCACCAAUCUAAUUUUUAAUGCUUCACCCAGUCAACAAAACCCCUAAGAUUCUAUCAUAAUUUGAAAUGAAAUAAACAAAUGAAAUUAUGAAGGUUAGGGAAAACAUCGAGACAACUUGGCAAUGUAUUGAUAUGGAAAAAUAAAUAAAUAAAUAAAACACACAUCUCUGCUCCUUUUUGCUUCAUUUAUUUAUAUACUGAAGUGGUAAAGUUUAUACUAAAAUUUAUAAUCUCACUGCGUUGGUGAUGCAGACCAACUAGAAUUAAUAUUCUAUCCCAACAUAUUCUGUCAGCAACCUUGAGAAAAUUAAGGUCAAUCUCAGUGCAUUGCCUUUUCCGUACAAUAGUGUGCAUCGUCGUUUAACUUUGGAUGGCAAGAUCCUGCAGGAGAUAUUGCAAAAUUCUUCAAAUAUUAUUCUUAAAAUAAAUAGGAAACUGUCUUGCUUAUCUUUUAUAAACACCAGGUAAUUGACUUAUCUUUCCACAUACCACAUUUCUUACAAUGGAAGAAAUUUUCCCUCCCUCCAUUUCUGUAAGAAGGAAAUGAAUGGGUUAAGGUAUUUCAAAUGGCAAUAGCUUCUCAAGGAAUCAAUCACUAGGCCAUGAAAAGAUUACUUAAUCCAGUGAUUUAGACAUCACAACUUAGCAACAAAGUUGGCGAAACCAGUAUGGAGAAGGAGUAGUUUAGGAAUUUUCUUUCAUGCAGAACAGAGGAUAUCCCUAUGAUGAUUAUGGGACGUAGAGAUGCAUGAUUACGCUAGGAAUGAACUGAGACAAUGGUAAAGAGAAUGAACAUUCUACCUGCAAAUUCCACAUUCAUCACAAUGGUAUUGAUUCUUUGAAACCUGAAAACAGCAAUCCAGUAGAGUAAUAAGUAAAAAUGGUCUAAAGUCAGAUAGAUAAACACUGAGAAGCAAGGAAGAAAAGUACAUCAUUGUCGAAGAAUUUGCACUUUGCACAAAAGUACUCUCCCAUACAAACACCACAACUAAUGCAAUUCUGCUGAACCUGAUUGAAUACAACAUAAGAAAAUUAAGAACCCAGGAGAAUUUUAACAGAUCACUCAUAUAUCUUUGACUUGCACCAUCUUAUUUUAUACACUUACAUCUUGUUCUGUGUCACAAAGGGAGCAGAUAACCUGAAAGACAGGAAACAGGAAAGAAUUAGAAACCGAUACAAGACAGUUCGAGGAACAAAAUAACCUUCAAAUCAUCCCUGUCCCAUUAAACAGAAGUACAGACAACCAUGUUUUAGUACCAGCAGCGCAGAUAAGUUCUGCAUUUUAUCAGAAAACUUAGGCAGAAGGCCAAAUUAUAUAAUGUUCUGCAUUGCAAAAUGCAAUCCAUGCAAAUAAUUAAAUUGUAUCUAACAUUUUUCAUUUCCUAGUUUGGAUGAGAGGUUUUGUCAAUCUAUAAUCUAUCGUUGCCUGACUAACAGGGGAGGAGACAUGUGGAAGUAAGUGGAGUCACAUGACCACAUUUGAAAGUUUCAAUAGUGAUCCCACUGAAAUUGUUAAAAAUGCAUCUAAAUUUUAAUUAAUUACUAAUCUUUUACCUUAAAAAUUUAAAAUACAGAGUGACUUUAAGUGUUCACUCUAGUAUAAUUCUCAAAAAAACAACCCUGUAUUGUAUAUAUUUUAAGUGGUACCUUCAUUAAGUUCUCAAGUGCUCCACUAGAAUUACUAAGAUAUCUCUAAUAAUUGAUUUUAAAUUUUUUACAUAGUGAAACCAACUAAGAAAUUGAAUGAGAAACUAAUCUUUAAAUGAAUAUUUGAUGUCUUAUACAUUAAAAAUCGUAUAGUUAAUAAUAUUGAUAAUGACAUAUUUAUGCAACAGAGUCAAAAUAUAAAAUUACGUUAAAUAUAUAUAUAUAUAUAUAUAUAUAUUACAACUAUUAACUCGAAUUUCUUGUAUGCUAUUUUGAGUUAUCUUACUCACACCAACACUAAAUUUCUUUUCCAAGCAAACUUCUGUUUUGCAUGAAAAUGGUAUAUUUGACAACAACUAUACACAUUGAAUUUCCUUGUAUAAAAUAUUAUAAUGUCUUAUUAUUUUAAGAUAUUAUAAUGUUACUAAAUAUUUAUUUAAUAAUAUAAAAAAUAUUUGUGAUCCACUACUCAAAAUUCUUGGCUCAGCAACUAUUGAAUAACUUUUAUCAAUAGUCAUGGGCUAAAGUAGAAAUGGACAGGACACAUUCCUAGUUUACCUCCACUCUUUUGAGUUGACCUUCACAUUAACUCCUCUUUUUUUCACAAUCCACUUUGGACAUCAAUGCUUAUUAGCUGCUUCUCAAAGUUUCCAAUUCAAACUAUUCAAGUAUUCAUCACAAUCUCAUCAGACUAUUUGAAGUUCCAUCAUAACUAUUCCAUUGGAUAGACCUUUCAUUCAAAUUACUAUUAUUACUACUACUACUUAAAAAAAGGGUAAAAAUUAUUAGAUUUAGCAGAAGUUUGAAAAAAACUCAAACCUUUAUGACUUCAUGGCUUGGAAUACAGUGUUUAUUACAAAGAUUAGUUUCCAUUGCAUUCUGCCAAUAAAAAUACAACAUUAAAAAAUAACUAAUAUUUAACCAAGAAUAAAAAUAAUUAGCCAAAAUAAAAUCCAUAAACACGGGUUGGGUUGCAGAAGAAAGGAUACAGUUGCUGUACCUUGGCUUCAUCAUGGCAGUGCCAACAAUCAAAAAUGCCAUUGCAACAAGGUGCUCUAAUUUUGCAUCUCCUUCUAUAAUGUGAGCAGCUAAAUCCACCAAAGAACAAUGCAUGAUAGUAGCAACAAAACUUUCCAUUAGCAAAGAAACAAAAGCCAAGGAACUAGACGGAAAUAUCAAUAAAAAAUAUGAAUUUGAGUAUUAUCAAAGCUCCCAUACCCAAAAUCAUCAGAUCCAAACUCUAAGGGAAACACAUGAUUAACAGGUUCACUAGGAUUUGAUUGGACCUCAAUUUUAGUCUCCAUUCUCUUUGACAUUUGACCAUUCUGCUCUAUCUUCCUAGUCAACCCUUGUCUAUGAUCCACAGAUCCAAGCUCCAUCGAUGAUGAACUUGCAUCUCCAAAUUGACUAAGGUCAGAUUGGUGCUGAAUUUCAGCCCUUGCUCUGUUCUCCUGACAAUUGACCUCCUCCAUCUUUCUUCUUAAUUAGAACAUGUAAAAAUAAAUUGAAUAAUAAUAAUCACCAUCAAGUACCUAUUACCGAUUGCUGUUUCAUUUAACUAGAUCAUGAAAAUGUACCUGAUUUUUUUGGAGAUAAGCACACACAAGAAGAAGAUGAAAGGUAGAAGGGACAUUUUGAUAGGGUUAUCUAAAUUGUGAAGGGUAUAUAUAUACUGCACUAUUGAGUAAAUGCACUGCCAGACAGCACAGGCUAAUCCAAAAAUAUGAACAAUUACAAAAAGUUCGCUAGGUGGGGAAGUAUCAGUCGAGCGACAACAAAAACAAGAACAAGUUGACCGGCCCCUUUCCAAUGUGAUAAGUCCUUCUCUACGAGCCAUAUUAACUAGCUCAAGUGUAGAAAUAAAUAAACCCACAAAUGACAGUACCAUGCCUACUAACAGAUAACCAAGCUGGUCGAGAAGAGCUGAGACACCCUCUAGAAGCAGGCUCCCAAUCAAAAGACUCCACUCUGUUGUUUCCUGUAGAAAAGACAUUAUAACUAAGAUAUUUCAAAACAAUCAUGAUGAAAAAACUUGCAGUUCAUGAUUGACGGUGCCCAGUUCAAUAUUGCACUAAGUCUCUCCCUGGGUUGUCAUGUUGUCUGUUUUAGGCCAUUGGAUGCCCAUACUGUUUGCUGUUUGUUCUUUGAGAAAGAAGUGCUCUAGGUGAAAGGUGUUAGUCUUACAGACCAAGACCUAUACCUCCUUUACUCUCUCUAUGAUACUUUGGCAUCAUCAAUAAUCAAAUUAGAAGGAAUAGUUGUAUUUAUUAAGGUCUUACAACACUUGAAGGUGAACUCUCUCCAGUUUCUGGAUCAAUUUUAGUGCAAGCAUUUCUGGAUGUAACAGGACUUUGACCCUGGCUCCAGCCUUCAUUCAAAUCCUGAACAGCAAAUAUUUGAAUAAUCUCUGGUUCUGAUAAUUGAAGAGUUGCCUGUGUGCUGCUUUCUUGUUUAUGAUCUAUCGUUAAAGACUGGCCUUCAGCUAUUAUUACUCCUUCCUUUAGUAUCUUUAUCUUCCUCUCCUCAACAAGUUUCUUUAAUCUUUUCUUCAUGGUCACUGUUAGUACCUUCACAUCAAUGGUUGCUUUGACUGCUAUAGUUUCAUCCCCCUUAAUAACUAUUACCUGCUGUACUCCUGUAAUAUGACAUAUAAUUGCCCAUUAAAGUGUUAUGCUUAUUGCUGUAUUAAUGCAAAAGGUCAAUUAGUGGAGAAACAAAAUUGGAAGUUCAAUAAUACUGGAGAUACAGUAAGGGUCGGAAGGUGUUGAAAGAUUAAAAUGUUACCUCUGAUUCUGCGGAUAAUUUUACGGAUCUUCCUGAUGCAUCCAUCACAAUGGAGUGGCACCUUGAAUAAUGUCGCUGUUGCUGAAGCCUAUGUCACCAAAAAAAAUUGAAAUUCAAAGAUAAGAAUGCAAAUAUUAAUCACAAUAUGAAUAUAUGCCUUUCACAUUUCAAAUGAAUGAAGCAGCCUAGAUUGCAGAGGAAAUAGAUAAGGUACAGAAAACUCAACCCUGCAUGAGUUUUGGCUCUUAAUUGUUGAAAUUAAAAAGGAAUUUUAACUGACAUAUCAAUUUGAGUAAAUCCUAUUGUUAGUUUAUGAAAGAUUGAAUCUCAUUCAUACAUACAUGCAUAUGUUUUACUUAGCCUACUUGAAAGAUUUUUGAGACAAUAACAAUUAAGCUUUAAUCCCAAACUAGUUGCGUUCAGCUAAGUAAAAUUUGAGACAGACUUUUGAGACAUUACAUAAAAUUUGAUGAUACUCUCAUUUGAAAGCUCUAAAGAAAGGCAAAGAACAGGCAAUACACAUUUAUACGAGGGAGAAGCAAAAUAUAAAGGAGAAAUAAUAUUGACUCCAAAAAGUUCAAAAUCUGCAAUGAGAAUACCUUUUCUGGCCCCAACUUCAUUAUGCUUUCUUCCAUCUCAAUACCAUUAACCCCAUUCUCUUCCCCGCCACUACCUUUCUUCUUCUUUCCAUCAUCACUGCCGAACCCACUGCCUUUGACACUUCCAUUGCUGGAUUUCUCUUGUUCAAUUGACAAGAUCUCAAUAGGUAUAUUCAGUCUCUCCUUCAGAUUCUCAAUUAACACCAUUGGGUCCAUGGUCCCUUUGAUUGUCACUGUUUCCUUCUGUUCAUCCUCUGACAUCUCUUGCACACC
rnacentral:lncRNA from 1 species